rnacentral:tRNA from 1 species
UGGCCUGUAGACAAGUGGCUUAAGUCACUGGAUUUUGAUUCCAGCAUUCCUAGGUUCGAAUCCUAGCAGGCCAGCCA